UACGUAGGGCGCAAGCGUUAUCCGGAAUUAUUGGGCGUAAAGAGCUCGUAGGCGGUUUGUCGCGUCUGCCGUGAAAGUCCGGGGCUCAACUCCGGAUCUGCGGUGGGUACGGGCAGACUAGAGUGAUGUAGGGGAGACUGGAAUUCCUGGUGUAGCGGUGAAAUGCGUAGAUAUCGAGAGGAACACCUGCGGCGAAGGCGGGUUGCUGGGCUGAUACUGACGCUGAGGCGCGAAAGCCAGGGGAGCGAACGGG
rnacentral:rRNA from 1 species